rnacentral:rRNA from 1 species
AGCGAACGCUGGCGGCAGGCCUAAUACAUGCAAGUCGAGCGCCCUUUCGGGGGAGCGGCGGACGGGUGAGUAACGCGUGGGAACGUGCCCUUUGGUACGGAACAACUGAGGGAAACUUCAGCUAAUACCGUAUGUGCCCUAUGGGGGGAAAGAUUUAUCGCCAUUGGAGCGGCCCGCGUUAGAUUAGCUAGUUGGUAGGGUAACGGCCUACCAAGGCGACGAUCUAUAGCUGGUCUGAGAGGAUGAUCAGCCACACUGGGACUGAGACACGGCCCAGACCCCUACGGGAGGCAGCAGUAGGGAAUCUUGCGCAAUGGGCGAAAGCCUGACGCAGCCAUGCCGCGUGAAUGAUGAAGGUCUUAGGAUUGUAAAAUUCUUUCACCGGGGACGAUAAUGACGGUACCCGGAGAAGAAGCCCCGGCUAACUUCGUG